rnacentral:rRNA from 1 species
UUGAAAGGGAAACGAUUGAAGUAGUCGUACCCACGAGAAAUCAGCUUUUCUAAGUGCAUUUGUGGGCCUAUGAGAUCUUCAUUGUUUGCAAUAUGUAUAUUUCUUUGGUGUACUUUUUCGUAUGGUGGGUCAAUGUCGGUUUUGAUCGCCAUAAAAUGAUCGGAGGAAUGUAGCUUCGGCUUCGGUUGAAGUGUUAUAGCCUUUGGUAAAUGUGGUGAUUAGGACCGAGGUUUGCAACGAAUACCUUUUAGGCUAUCCGUCUGACCUCUGAAAGUUACUUAGGUGCCGAAAGCUUGCUUACGGUCAUUUAAGUUGACGGUCAAUAGGUUAGAACGUGAUUACAUUCGUUAAGGAUGUUGACGUA